AUGACUUGCACAGAGCUCCUUAUGAAGGGUGAGGUGGCUGGAUUUGUAGCUCACACCUGCUUUUUAAUAACCAUUGUGUUAAGUCCUCAUCCAUGUCAGGAAGGAACACAGAUGUACAGACCACACCAGGAGUGUUGUGGUGAGUCUGCAGGAUCCAUCCAAUCAGGAGCCUCAUCUGGACAGGUGGAAUCAGGAGAGACUUCUGAUUGGCUGGAAGGAAAACCUGCAGCUGGAACUUGUGUCUUUCAGAAUUUUAAAAUUGAACAUCUGCUCAUGCUCUGGGUUCACCAUCACACGCUGCUUCUUCAGGGAGGAAGUUGGGCUUCCCAUCACCCCGCGUCUCCGAUCGGCACCAAAGAUCCAGAAACCAUGUGCUGAACAUGGACCUGGAAUCCACAUUAUAGUCCUUCUCUAUGAUGCUGUAAAACUCCUGAGACUGCAGGCGAUGAGACGUGGAUGAGACGAUGAGAUCCUCCUGCUCUGAGCACUCUGCGGACGUGGAGAGUAAUGAUGGAGCAGAGUUUCCCUUUGGGAUUCUUCAUCUGAUCUGCUCUGGGAUUGGAUUCUGUCAAAAAAAAUCUACUCUGAAAUUGAUUGAGAUUGGAAUAUUUGAUGUGUUUGGAGGUUCUGGUGCUGAGGUCUGCUGUUCCUUCACUGCUAUUGGUGGUGGAAUCGGCAUGAUAGUGUACAGAGAAACAUCUGAAAGACCUGGAGGACUUCAGAACCACUGCUUCACUGAGAUUAAGAGCAAAAAUAAACCUGACAGUAGAUU